UACAUGCAAGUCGAGCGAACAGACGAGGAGCUUGCUCCUCUGACGUUAGCGGCGGACGGGUGAGUAACACGUGGAUAACCUACCUAUAAGACUGGGAUAACUUCGGGAAACCGGAGCUAAUACCGGAUAAUAUAUUGAACCGCAUGGUUCAAUAGUGAAAGACGGUUUUGCUGUCACUUAUAGAUGGAUCCGCGCCGCAUUAGCUAGUUGGUAAGGUAACGGCUUACCAAGGCAACGAUGCGUAGCCGACCUGAGAGGGUGAUCGGCCACACUGGAACUGAGACACGGUCCAGACUCCUACGGGAGGCAGCAGUAGGGAAUCUUCCGCAAUGGGCGAAAGCCUGACGGAGCAACGCCCGCGUGAGGUGAUGAAGGUCUUCGAUCGUAAAACUCUGUUAUUAGGGGAAGAACAAAUGUGUAAGUAACUAUGCACGUCUUGACGGUACCUAAUCAGAAAGCCACGGCUAACUACGUGCCGCAGCCGCGGUAAUACGUAGGUGGCAAGCGUUAUCCGGAAUUAUGGGGCCGUAAAGCGCGCGUAGGUGGUUUUUUUAAGUUGGAUGUGAAAGCCCACGGCUCAACCGUGGAGGGUCAUUGGAAACUGGAAAAC
rnacentral:rRNA from 1 species